rnacentral:rRNA from 1 species
AUGAACGCUGGCGGCGUGCCUAAUACAUGCAAGUCGAACGAGUUCUGAUUAUUGAAAGGUGCUUGCAUCUUGAUUUAAUUUUGAACGAGUGGCGGACGGGUGAGUAACACGUGGGUAACCUGCCCUUAAGUGGGGGAUAACAUUUGGAAACAGAUGCUAAUACCGCAUAAAUCCAAGAACCGCAUGGUUCUUGGCUGAAAGAUGGCGUAAGCUAUCGCUUUUGGAUGGACCCGCGGCGUAUUAGCUAGUUGGUGAGGUAACGGCUCACCAAGGCAAUGAUACGUAGCCGAACUGAGAGGUUGAUCGGCCACAUUGGGACUGAGACACGGCCCAAACUCCUACGGGAGGCAGCAGUAGGGAAUCUUCCACAAUGGACGCAAGUCUGAUGGAGCAACGCCGCGUGAGUGAAGAAGGCUUUCGGGUCGUAAAACUCUGUUGUUGGAGAAGAAUGGUCGGCAGAGUAACUGUUGUCGGCGUGACGGUAUCCAACCAGAAAGCCACGGCUAACUACGUGCCAGCAGCCGCGGUAAUACGUAGGUGGCAAGCGUUAUCCGGAUUUAUUGGGCGUAAAGCGAGCGCAGGCGGUUUUUUAAGUCUGAUGUGAAAGCCCUCGGCUUAACCGAGGAAGUGCAUCGGAAACUGGGAAACUUGAGUGCAGAAGAGGACAGUGGAACUCCAUGUGUAGCGGUGAAAUGCGUAGAUAUAUGGAAGAACACCAGUGGCGAAGGCGGCUGUCUGGUCUGUAACUGACGCUGAGGCUCGAAAGCAUGGGUAGCGAACAGGAUUAGAUACCCUGGUAGUCCAUGCCGUAAACGAUGAAUGCUAGGUGUUGGAGGGUUUCCGCCCUUCAGUGCCGCAGCUAACGCAUUAAGCAUUCCGCCUGGGGAGUACGACCGCAAGGUUGAAACUCAAAGGAAUUGACGGGGGCCCGCGCAAGCGGUGGAGCAUGUGGUUUAAUUCGAAGCAACGCGAAGAACCUUACCAGGUCUUGACAUCUUUUGAUCACCUGAGAGAUCAGGUUUCCCCUUCGGGGGCAAAAUGACAGGUGGUGCAUGGUUGUCGUCAGCUCGUGUCGUGAGAUGUUGGGUUAAGUCCCGCAACGAGCGCAACCCUUAUGACUAGUUGCCAGCAUUUAGUUGGGCACUCUAGUAAGACUGCCGGUGACAAACCGGAGGAAGGUGGGGAUGACGUCAAAUCAUCAUGCCCCUUAUGACCUGGGCUACACACGUGCUACAAUGGAUGGUACAACGAGUUGCGAGACCGCGAGGUCAAGCUAAUCUCUUAAAGCCAUUCUCAGUUCGGACUGUAGGCUGCAACUCGCCUACACGAAGUCGGAAUCGCUAGUAAUCGCGGAUCAGCACGCCGCGGUGAAUACGUUCCCGGGCCUUGUACACACCGCCCGUCACACCAUGAGAGUUUGUAACACCCGAAGCCGGUGGCGUAACCCUUUUAGGGAGCGAGCCGUCUAAGGUGGGACAAAUGAUUAGGGUG